CUUUGAUCUCUCCUGGUUUUCCCCUUGCUCCGUAGAAAACAGGGAGAAGCUUCGGAAAGGUGCAACGCUCUAAUUGGCUACGAGCAGACCAAACUCAAAGCAGCUGUCAAGUGAGGGAGAAAAUCUGACAGAAGAGAGAAUGCUUCAUUAAAUACGACAAGAAAGUGCAAUCUGGAUGUUCUUUUAAAUAAUUUAACACAGCCGGGUGAAUUACGUCUGAUUUCUCUAACACUGCAAAGUGCAGUCGAGGAGCACCCAAUCUGAAGCUGUAAUGAUGAACUACACAUUCGCUAACUACCAAUCACAAAGUGCCUUGUUUCAGUGCCAGGUGAUCCGUGUCAUAGGUGCAGGGGCCGUGUGUGUACGUUUAGGGUACAGGUGGUGGACCAACAAACGGAAUCACCUGGAUGAAUGAAGGACAACAAUAUGACAAUGCCCCCACCCAAAAGUGCAUGAGUAGUCGCCCAAUAGACAUAUUAUUGUCCACCAUUUGUUUGCCUUUUUGUCCAUCACUUGUAGGUCUUCUACUGUAUCUCAGUUAUGCCUGAAACCUGCUCUUAUUCUUCUCACUCUGCGUCAACGACUACCUGUCCACUCCAAACGUUUUGGAGAGAGUUACAGAGGUUUCGAAUUGUUCCUCAUCUUGGUAAAGACACCAGGGCUAGAUGCAUAAUAUGCAGAACUGUAGUUUGUGUGUUUUAAUCAACUUCAAUCUAAAGAAAAAAACUAUUUAUGCUCAUGUUCAUUGAAUAUUAGGAAUAUCAACACACUAUCCUCAUGUGGUUCAAUGCAAACCAGGCUUAAUAGGAGCACACUGGGCUUAAUAGGAGCACACUGGGCUUAAUAGGAGCACACUGGGCUUAAUAGGAGCACACUGGGCUUAAUAGGAGCACACUGGGCUUAAUAGGAGCACACUGGGCUUAACAGGAGCACACUGGGCUGAAUAGGAGCACACUGGGCUUAAUAGGAGCACACUGGGCUUAAUUGGAACAACUGUAAUUUAUGGUGAAAAAUAGAGAAUAGCAAAAUCUACUCAUAAAAUAUUUGGAAACCAAUGGUUUGGGGUAUAAAUAUACACAGUUAGUAUUAAUCAUAUCGAACAAUAUGUAUGUAUUGUCAUUCACAUUCUGCAUAGAGGGUGUGCUUUUUGUGCCACUGUACCUUUUAAGCCCACCUGAGAUAAAUGUCAAAUUUACACAAAUGUAAUCUAUGUAUACAAUGGAAGGUUAAUUUAACAGUAAAGCAAGACAAAUGCAUUAAAAAAGGUAUGCUGUGAAUGCCUGAAAUCUAUUAUCUUGAUGCAGUUGCAAGUUAUGUUGCUUUUGUGUGACUGUGACAUGCAGGCAUGAAAAACCCAUAUAUUCAAUUGGGAAGAAAUAGUCAUUACUGCCCAUGAAAUAUGCUAUAAUGUGCAUACAUCAAUACAAUAAUCUCUUAAUACUACAUAAAGUAUUUGAAAAUGGCCACUAGUGGGAACUGUUUAUUUAGUUGAAACAAACACUAAACAGCAGAAAUGUUUAAAAAAAACUUCAUUAUUUGAAUCCAAAGAUGGAAGUGAGUUUAACGGGUAUGUGGGCUUAAUAAAUACACUUACCCUAGAUGUGUGUCUAAUUCCACCCAAUCUGUAGGUUUAACCCCUUACCCAUGUGAAAUAGGUCAUAGAGAUAAUGAUAUGAAGCUUAUGAGGCCAUCGGUAAACCAAAGAGGAUAAAUUGAAUUGGACAAACCCAACAUAGGCUGCCUCAAAUAAUCCCUACAUUUGAGGAGCCCUCUUUCACUCCCUUUCAGAUCCACCUACUUAUAGCCAAGAUUAUGAGCUUCUCUAUCUCACCUGAACUCUUUCAUCCACUUUCAGUUUGAACUUCUUCCCUCAGUCUUACAUUUCCAUGUGACUAUUUCUGUCCCCUCUCUUUUGAUAGUGUUUAAGUGAGUGUGUCCCAAUAUUCAUGUUCUGUAUUUCAUCAAUUUAGGUCUUUCCUUGGAAUGUGAAUCACUACAACUAGCUGUGUAAGAAAAUCUCCUUCCAUUCUCCUGCUGGUGAGAUGAAGGUCUAUUUCAGGCUAUGCAUGAGGAAGAGGGUCUGUCAGAAAGCUUACUGAACGUAAAUGAUGAAAUCAUCUGGUCAGUUGUACUGCUUUCCUGACGCUACAUUGAGAAAGCUAGCUGUCUGUACCUUUGUUUAGAAUCCUACACAUUUUUGGAA